rnacentral:tRNA from 1 species
AAGGAUAUAGCUCAGUGGAAGAGCGUGUGCUUAGCAUACAUGAGUUCUUGGGUUCAAUCUCCAGUACUUUUA